rnacentral:tRNA from 1 species
GGGUAUAGCUCAGUGGUGGAGUGCGUGCUUAGCAUGCACCAGGUCCUGGGUUCAACCCCCAGUACUUCCA